AACUGCAUUUGAUACUGGCAAACUAGAGUAUGGUACCGGAAUGGGGAAUUUCUGGUGUAGCGGUGAAAUGCGUAGAGAUCAGAAGGAACACCAAUGGCGAAGGCAACAUUCUGGACCAAUACUGACACUGAGGGACGAAAGCGUGGGGAUCAAACAGGAUUAGAUACCCUGGUAGUCCACGCUGUAAACGAUGAGUACUAGCUGUUGGAUUCGGUGUAAAGGAUCUAGUGGCGUAGCUAACGCGUUAAGUACUCCGCCUGGGGACUACGGCCGCAAGGCUAAAACUCAAAGGAAUUGACGGGGACCCGCACAAGCGGUGGAGCAUGUGGUUUAAUUCGAUGCAACGCGAAGAACCUUACCUGGUCUUGACAUCCUGCGAACUUUCUAGAGAUAGAUUGGUGCCUUCGGGAACGCAGUGACAGGUGCUGCACGGCUGUCGUCAGCUCGUGUUGUGAAAUGUUGGGUUAAGUCCCGCAACGAGCGCAACCCCUAUUGAUAGUUACCAUCAUUAAGUUGGGUACUCUAUUGAGACUGCCGCUGACAAGGCGGAGGAAGGUGGGGACGACGUCAAGUCAUCAUGGCCCUUACGACCAGGGCUACACACGUGCUACAAUGGGUAUUACAGAGGGCAGCGAAGUAGCGAUAUGGAGCGAAACUCAGAAAGGUACUCUUAGUCCGGAUUGCAGUCUGCAACUCGACUGCAUGAAGUCGGAAUCGCUAGUAAU
rnacentral:rRNA from 1 species